CGAGAACCCUUGGAUUCGUCUGGGGGGGAGAGUGGCGAACUGGUGAGUAACACGUGGGUGACCUGCCCCGAAGACGGGGAUAACCGUUGGAAACGACGGCUAAUACCCGAUAUACUCGGUGAUUCGGUUCAUCGAGUAAAGGCUCCGGUGCUUCGGGAUGGGCCUGCGGCCUAUCAGCUAGUUGGUGGGGUAAUGGCCCACCAAGGCGAAGACGGGUAGGGGGCGUGAGAGCGCGGNCCCCCACACUGGCACUGAGAUACGGGCCAGACUUCUACGGAAGGCAGCAGUCGGGGAUAUUGCACAAUCGGCGAAAGCCGGAUGCAGCGACGCCGCGUGGGCGGUGAAGGCCUUCGGGUUGUAAAGCCCUUUUAUGGGGGAAGAGACAAGGACGGUACCCCAAGAAUAAGCGUCGGCUAACUACGUGCCAGCAGCCGCGGUAAAACGUAGGACGCAAGCGUUAUCCGGAUUUACUGGGCGUAAAGAGCGUUGAGGCGGUUCCGUAAGUUGGGCGUGAAAGCCCCGGGCUUAACCCGGGGAGGUCGUUCAAUACUGCGGGACUUGAGGGCAGCAGAGGGAGGCGGAAUUCCCGGUGUAGCGGUGAAAUGCGUAGAUAUCGGGAGGAACACCAGUGGCGAAGGCGGCCUCCUGGGCUGUUUCUGACGCUGAAGGCGAAAGCUAGGGGAGCGAACGGGAUUAGAAACCCCGGUAGUCCUAGCCGUAAACGAUGGAUGCUGGGUGUGGGGGGUAUAGAUCCCCUCCGUGCCGAAGCUAACGCGUUAAGCAUCCCGCCUGGGGAUUACGGCCGCAAGGCUUAAACUCAAACGAAUUGACGGGGGCCCGCACAAGCAGCGGAGCGUGUGGUUUAAUUCGAUGCUACACGAAGAACCUUACCUGGGCUUGACAUGUAGGUAGUAGUGAAGCGAAAGCGGAACGACCCUUCGGGGAGCCUACACAGGUGCUGCAUGGCUGUCGUCAGUUCGUGCCGUGAGGUGUCGGGUUAAGUUCCGUUACGAACGCAACCCUUGCCCUUAGUUACAUGUGUCUAAGGGGACUGCCCGGGACAACUGGGAGGAAGAUGGGGAUGACGUCAAGUCAGCAUGGCCUUUAUGUCCAGGGCUACACACACGCUAC
rnacentral:rRNA from 1 species